rnacentral:rRNA from 1 species
AGUGAACGCUGGCGGUAGGCCUAACACAUGCAAGUCGAACGGCAGCACAGUAAGAGCUUGCUCUUACGGGUGGCGAGUGGCGGACGGGUGAGGAAUACAUCGGAAUCUACUUUUUCGUGGGGGAUAACGUAGGGAAACUUACGCUAAUACCGCAUACGACCUACGGGUGAAAGCAGGGGAUCUUCGGACCUUGCGCGAUUGAAUGAGCCGAUGUCGGAUUAGCUAGUUGGCGGGGUAAAGGCCCACCAAGGCGACGAUCCGUAGCUGGUCUGAGAGGAUGAUCAGCCAAACUGGAACUGGAGCAAGGGUCAGAAUCCUACGGGAGGGAGCAGGUGGGAAUUUUGGGCAAUUGGCGGAAGCCUGAUCCAGCCAUGCCGGGUGGGUGAAGAAGGGCUUCGGGGUGGAAAACCCCUUUUGUGGGGAAGAAAAAGCGGCGGUUUAAUACCCGGCUUUUUGAAGGUACCCAAAAAAAAAGCCACGGCUAACCUCGUU